AUUUCCCCCCUUGAAACCCCCAACUUUACAAACACACCGUCCUUUAAAACUUUUAACUCUAUGCCCAUUGCUAUUUUUUCUUCCUCAACCCCAAUUCUUAAGCGCUGUCUUUUAAUUUCACUACGCCCCCUCUUCCUGAUCCUGGUACCAUCUUUUAAUUUAAGAAUAAGCCAAACCCAUAUUUCAUUUUCUUAAGUUUCUGUUAACAACUGUUCAUGCUAGUGUUUUCAGGAACUUUUUUAUUUUUUUUUAGAGGGAAAUGUAAUUUGUAGGAAGCCAAUUUGUUUUAUCUAUUUUCCCCCGUUUUAUUGUUAUUUUUAGUUGUUUUAUGUUAAUUUUCUUUCUUUUUAUUUGGGUUUCAGUUGACAUUUAUUUUGAUAUUUCAUUGUCGUUUAGAGUAAAUGCAGAGUACAACUAUCGAUGAAAUGGAUUUCGCCAUUUCCGUUUAAUGGUGAAGUCGAUGUUUGUCUUUUUUAAAGAAUCAUAUGCUACAAUUGUUCCUUUCCAUGGGUUCUUAACUUAGAGGAAAUGGGAAAAGGAAAGAAACUUGAUAUUUUGAAAUUUCUGAUUUUGGACAAUUUGAAGUUUGAAAGAAUUGGUUUUUAUGCUCAAAUAAGUGUUAUAAGAUAUGUGGAAAUCUUGCAUGGCUGAUCUGUUAUUCUUCCACAUUUACCAACCACUGGCUUUUGGUUUAAAACAACAUUAUUGCCUCAGAAUUUCUGAAUUAAGUAUUUAAGUAAGCAUUUCAAAAAGUUAAUAUAAGAUGUUCUAUAAUCAUCAAUAAUGUUAAUAUACUUUUUCUGUUUGUUUUUGCAAUGUGUAAAUAAUCAAAUAGUUCAUUGCACUUACAGAUAGCACUUUUCUUGCCUUUUGAAGUAUCGUUGAAGAAUGUGCCUGCUCCUUAGAACCAUGUAUGUCUGUCCAAGUACGGAUUGUUUUGGUGAUUAUAUUAUGAAGGACUGAUGUGCUAAAAUUUACAUGCAAAGUUAUAUGUAUUUUAUAGUUGAAUUUACUUUGUGCUUAUAGAUUGUAGACUUCAUCAUAUAUACCUCUGCAUUAACAGAUUGGAGUAGUGUAUUUUAUUCUGUCAUAUAUACCUCUAUCCCUACUAUUGUUAUUGGCAUUCUUGACAAGGAUUUAAGUCAUAAAACACUCCUAGAGUAUCCUAAACUUUAUGGCGUGGGGCAUAGACAUGAGGCGUAUAAUUUGCAACUCUUUUGGAUCACAAUGAUUGACACACUAUGGCAAAGCCUUGUUCUGUUCUAUAUACCUCUAUUCACAUAUAAUGAGAGCACAAUCGAUAUAUAAAGCAUGGGCAGUUUGUGGACUAUAGCAGUUGUUAUUCUUGUUAAUAUACACUUGGCAAUGGGCAUUCGGCGCUGGGUAUUCAUUACUCAUGCUGCAGUGUGGGGAUCAAUAAUUAUCACAUAUGCUUGUAUGGUAGUAUUGGAUUCUAUACCUGUCUUCCCAAAUUACUAGUUAGUUUCACCUCAGAAUAUGUUUUCUUGAUCUUUAGUUAUAGACUUUUAUUGGAUUGAUUUUAUAUUCUUCUUAUAUUUGGCAGGACAAUCUACCAUCUGGUGAAGUCACCCACCUAUUGGCUCACCAUUCAGCAUGUACUGACCUCCGGCAAAUUCUUCAAAUUGGCGAUUUAAAUUUUCAAAUUUAACUUAUUGUAAGGAUUUUUUUCUCAUAAUUUAUGGUGAAAUUUUACGGGGAAAGAAAAAGGAAGGAAAUGCUGCGAGAUAUGUGACGAGGUCACAAGCUAUUAAAAUCCUUCAAGUUAGCCUUUCGGAUUUCAGUCAUCUCUGUUGCAUUCAAGACCCAAAUCAACAGUUGGAACUCUAGCAUAUAUAGGACCAGAAGUUCUGGCGCGGCUAGAGUAUGAUGGAAAGUGUUGACGAUGUUCUUGUUUCUGAGUACACUCAGACAUGCCAAUUUCAUGUUUAAUGACUAACAGUCUUGUCACUGAUGCUUAAAGAAUGAUAUUUGGGAAGUAAAUGAGAAAGGGCAUGAGCAUACCAACUUUUGAAAUAACAGGUGUCUUUGUUUGUCUUUCUUAGCCUGUUCUUGCUCCCUGUGUGAAUUGCUCUUGGCAAUAGGGCAUAGCUAAUAUGUUGACUCCCAUACCCUCAAUUUUGACUUGUGAAUGGGAUGCAAUCACUGAUAGGGCAAUUUUUGGUGCAUGUUCCAUUACUUAGAUGCAAAAUAUGCAUCAUCAAAGAAGAUUACUUGAUUUAAGGGUGUAACAAACAAUUAAGUUGCCUUUGUUGCUUUUACAUUCAUUUAUUUUGCAGAUUGUUGCCUUUUAAGUUUUGUUUUGCAGGUGAGAUGGUUCUGAAAUCUGAGUGUUUGUUUACUUGAUAGCUGUCCAGGCAUUGAUUUGCAGCCUGCUACAAUUCCCCCUAUUCUCCUUAUUCUUUCUCUCUGUUCCUUUAAUGUAAAGCAUUUGCAAGUCAAAAAUCGAUUAUUAGAACAUCCAAGCUUUCAUGAAUGUAUUUUCCAGAUAAGCUUAGCAACUUUAGCUCCAAGAGAGCCACAUUCAUACCUAAUUCUUGUAAAACUUGGGCCCUGGCGCGACUCUUUUUCUAUGCUUAAUUUAUGGCUUCACUGGGAAUUGAAACAUGGAGUUUGUAUUCAUUAUCUAUCAUAUAUCUUUCUCACGAUAUGUCCUGAAUCUUAUGUUGCAGAAAACAGCAGAGCAGGCCGCAAGACCAAACUAAGCAGCCUUAAGGAGUCAUGCAUUUUUUAAUGAUGCCAUUUGUACCUUUGUUCCCAUUUACUGCAUUAAGCCCUACUAAUGUGGAUGGCAUCAAGGUUUUUAAUGAGAUUUUAUUUAUAUUUUUUCUUGUAAUAACAUUUCUCCAUUUAUUGUGGUCAGUCUUUACUUCAUUUCAUUGUAAUGGAUAGGUUUAACCAAAACUGGAGAGGUUAGUUUUGUCAUUUUACAGGGCAGUCAUUUGAAUUUUACGAAGAUUUUGAUGUA